rnacentral:RNase_P_RNA from 1 species
AACCGGGAGGGAGGAAAGUCCGAACUUCAGAGAACAGGGUGCCGGGUAACACCCGGGGUUCCGGUUUAUCCGGGAUACUGCAAGUGCCACAGAAAAUAUACAGCCCCGGCUAUGCCGUGGUAAAGGUGAAAAGGUGGGGUAAGAGCCCACCGUUCCGAUGGUAACAUUGGAAGCAAGGUAAACCACACCCGAAGCAAGACCAAAUAGGGAAACCGCUUUUCUUAAUUGAAAUGCAGGGGUUGUUCGACCCAAUGGUUUCUGGGUAGGUCGCAAGAUUCCAAUGGUAACAUUGGAACCAGAUAAAUAAUUGCCGUCCUGGUUUUACCAGGAUUACAGAAUUCGGCUUACAGGGCAGAGCUAUUU